rnacentral:rRNA from 1 species
UGUUUGAUGUUCUAACGUGGACCCGUGAUCCGGGUUGCGGACAGUGUCUGGUGGGUAGUUUGACUGGGGCGGUCUCCUCCUAAAGAGUAACGGAGGAGCACGAAGGUUGGCUAAUCCUGGUCGGACAUCAGGAGGUUAGUGCAAUGGCAUAAGCCAGCUUGACUGCGAGCGUGACGGCGCGAGCAGGUGCGAAAGCAGGUCAUAGUGAUCCGGUGGUUCUGAAUGGAAGGGCCAUCGCUCAACGGAUAAAAGGUACUCCGGGGAUAACAGGCUGAUACCGCCCAAGAGUUCAUAUCGACGGCGGUGUUUGGCACCUCGAUGUCGGCUCAUCACAUCCUGGGGCUGAAGUAGGUCCCAAGGGUAUGGCUGUUCGCCAUUUAAAGUGGUACGCGAGCUGGGUUUAGAACGUCGUGAGACAGUUCGGUCCCUAUCUGCCGUGGGCGCUGGAGAACUGAGGGGGGCUGCUCCUAGUACGAGAGGACCGGAGUGGACGCAUCACUGGUGUUCGGGUUGUCAUGCCAAUGGCACUGCCCGGUAGCUAAAUGCGGAAGAGAUAAGUGCUGAAAGCAUCUAAGCACGAAACUUGCCCCGAGAUGAGUUCUCCCUGAGACUUUAAGUCUCCUGAAGGAACGUUGAAGACGACGACGUUGAUAGGCCGGGUGUGUAAGCGCAGCGAUGCGUUGAGCUAACCGGUACUAAUGAACCGUGAGGCU